rnacentral:rRNA from 1 species
UACGUAGGGGGCAAGCGUUGUUCGGAAUUAUUGGGCGUAAAGCGCGCGUAGGCGGCUACUUAAGUCGGAUGUGAAAGCCCCUGGCUCAACUGGGGAAGUGCACCCGAAACUGAGUAGCUAGAGUGCAAAAGAGGGUCGCGGAAUUCCCGGUGUAGAGGUGAAAUUCGUAGAUAUCGGGAGGAACACCGGUGGCGAAGGCGGCGACCUGGGUUGACACUGACGCUGAGGCGCGAAAGCGUGGGGAGCAAACAGG